rnacentral:rRNA from 1 species
GACGAACGCUGGCGGCGUGCUUAACACAUGCAAGUCGAACGGCAAGGCCCUGCUUUUGUGGGGUGCUCGAGUGGCGAACGGGUGAGUAACACGUGAGUAACCUGCCCUUGACUUUGGGAUAACUUCAGGAAACUGGGGCUAAUACCGGAUAGGAGCUCCUGCUGCAUGGUGGGGGUUGGAAAGUUUCGGCGGUUGGGGAUGGACGCGCGGCUUAUCAGCUUGUUGGUGGGGUAGUGGCUUACCAAGGCUUUGACGGGUAGCCGGCCUGAGAGGGGGAACGGCUACACUGCGACUAAGAUACGGCCCAGACUCUCACGGGACGGAGCGGUGGAAAAUAGUGUACAAGGGGCCGAAUCCUGAUGCAGCAACGUCGCGUGCGGGAUGGCGGCCUGCUGGUUGUAAACAUCUUUAGCCUGUUACGAAGGCUGAGUGUCGGUAAUGGGUAAAUAAGCACCGGCUAACUACGUG